rnacentral:lncRNA from 1 species
UCUGGAGUAUGUAGGAAUCUUUAGGCUUUUAUUCUUGGCGGGGUUGGGAGGGGAUAGGAAGUAGACAGGUGAGUGAGCUCAAUCUGAUUUACAAUUCAGGCCUGUAUUGAUCAUCUAUUGGUAAAUAAACAAUGCCUUGGUCACUGUCACAGUCCCUAUAAGGUAAUGACUGGGAAUAUGGAACAAGAUUAUUGUGGCUAAUUCUGUUGCCAUUCAUCUUAGCUGUUGAUGAAGAUUGUGAGGAGGGAGACCAGAAGAUAAUGGACAACGAUACAGCAGAAGGGCCUGGUAAGCUCCGUUUAGUUGCAUUACCCGGGGAGACCUGAGGCAUGUUUCCAAGGGCUGUGGCUGCCUGUAGCCAUGGGAUCUCCAACUGCAUGCCAGAGUAAUGGAGAGACUUUGACAGCUCAGGUCAGCACAGUGCCUGCAGCUGCCACUCAUCUUUCCUAUAUAUGUAUAUCAGGCCUGGAGUUGAGCUCUGUCUACCUGUGAGGCUAUUGUUCUGUGGUAUUUACAACAAAUGUUUCUUCUGCAGGUUACACUUGAGCUUAUUUCUUGGAAGAGUCUGAGAAGACGGCCUGUCAGGCUCCUAACACUAAGGGCCAUGUAACCAGUGAAGCAGCCAUUAUAUAUGAUUUGGUCUACACUUGUUGGAAAAAUUCCACAAGAGGAUCUGGAAGCUAGCAGAAGUUUUUGGCUUGUACAUUGCCAGGCAGCCAUUGGAAUCAGAGCUGCAGUCAGAUUAAGGCCAGCCUGGCCUACAUUGAGAAACCUCAUUUUGGGAAAGUGAAAUGCUUUGUCAAUUAACAUGCAGUUGGUUCAAUAAAGACUUUUGGAAAGUGUCCUCUCUGUAACUG